CGCACAUUGCGCCCCUUGGUAUUCCGAGGGGCAUGCCUGUCCGAGCGUCAUUAUCACCCCUCAAGCCCCUGUGCUUGGUGUUGGAGGGCCCCGUCGGGCGGAUCUCGCCCGACCCCUCCCAAAGACAAUGACGGCGGUCUGUGGAACCCCCGGUACACCGAGCUCCUUUCUUAAGGGCACGUACCGGAUCAGGGCGCCCAGCCGACGGUCUCAAACUUUUCAUUAUACAAGGUUGACCUCGGAUCAGGUAGGGAUACGCGCUGAACUUAA
rnacentral:misc_RNA from 1 species